AUGAAGCUUGCACUUCCUCUGUCUUAUCAAGGUCAUUUCUUUAAGAGGAAGGAGGGUGGUGCACCACAGGCCAGGCCAGGCUCAGCUGGAUGCCCUUGGCCCUCCCUGGGCAGGAGGAAAUGCCAGCCUGGAGGUAGCAGCACUCACUGCUGCAGGGCUUUCCCCAGCUCUAGCAAAAGUUGCUCUGACAAAGCCUACAGCUGCUGUUUCUUCUACAUGAAGGGCUAAGGCUCUGCUCAAAGUUCAAACAAGCUUGCUUUAAGACCACAUCCUGGUUCCCCCCUUCCCCAGGAAAAAAAUGACCCUCCUUUCAGUGCACAAGACAGUGGAAGGGCCACAGGAAGUUUUCAGUGUACUCUGCUGCCAUUUGGGUUUGAGAAACUCCUUGCUGUUUUUGCUGCCUGUCACUGUGGUGAGCUAGCCAUACUUCCAACAAAGGACAAACAGAACCUUUCCAUGUCUGUCAUCCAUGCAGUAGCAUGGUUCAACUCAGGGAAUGAAUUGAACACUUUGAAUUUGGCCUGGGAAUUUUUGUAUUGGCUUCUGUCAGCUCUGAGCUUGGCAUUUUGAUCUUGGGCAUCAGUGAUCUGAGAAACAAUUUUCCUUGUAACUGAAAAAAAAGAAAGAAACUGAAUGGGCACCUUGCAUAUGCUCAUCUUUCUAUGAGCAAGAGAAAAGAAGGCAGAAAGACAGACUAGUGACAGUUCAAGAACAUACAACAAGCUAACUUUUCACAGACUUUCAUCCUGACCUGCUUGCUGUGUUAAAUCCCCCUCUGCUCUGCUGUGAGCUGUUAAUACUCCAAACGCUGUUAGAAGGAUAUCUGGAUCCCUGUGGAAGUAGAUAAGAGCUAAACAUGUGGGGCUCCAUACAGUGGUGGAAGCUUGAAGGAAAAGAAAAAUGAGAGAAGAAAAACGAACUAAAUAUUUUAAGUUAGCAAAGGGAAAGAAUAGCAACUUUUUGCCUAUUGAGUUGUAUAUCAGUACAGACUCCUUUCCUCAGGGAAGGAAAUGUUGAAUGAGAAAGGAAUGAGGUAUAGCUUUAAUCAGCUAUUUUAUGCUAACAGCGCCUAAUCUGAGAUGAACAUUAGUAAGGGUUUGGCACCCUUCUCAGGUACCUGAGGCACCAGGCUAAGCAACGUGCCUGAACCGUGUAAGAGCAGCCUGCUGGCACAUUCUUGUUUAUUAUUCUCUAAAGAAAAGAUCACAGACAGUAGAAGAGAGGGGAA
rnacentral:lncRNA from 1 species